AUGUCUGGGAGAAAUGCAACAUCGGCAUUGCAGGAGGAGAAUGUCCUUAAGAGAAAGUCAUAUGAUGUGGGAUGGGACUAUGGGAGUCUAGCGGAUGCUUCCAACAAGGAUAAAGUGAAGUGUAUUUUCUGUAACCAUGUGAGCACUGGAGGUGUUUAUCGUCACAAGUAGCAUGUGGCUCAUGUUGGUAAUGCUGUGGUCAAAUGUAAAAAAAGCUCGCAGGAAGCUAAAGAUAGGUGCAAGAAAUCUCUUGAAGAGGCAUCUAAUAAGAGGCGGGAAGAGACUGCCCGUGAGAAAGAGCUCAGACAAAUUGUGAACAUUUCUCGCGUUGGAGAUGACGAAGCCGCUUGUAUCGGAAGUGCGGAGCCACACAAGUUAGGUCCCAUUGACAAGUGGACACGGCCUAUUGAUCCUAAACUGACUCAAGCUGAAGCCUUUCAUCAACAGAAGAUAAACAAGGAACUUUGGAAAAAGAGAACACAUGAAGUGCAGUAGUAUGUGGCUAGAUGGGUGUACAAUCAUGGUAAUUAA
rnacentral:rRNA from 1 species